UGAGGAAUUUUCCGCAAUGGGCGAAAGCCUGACGGAGCAAUACCGCGUGGGUGAAGAAGGCCUGUGGGUCGUAAAACCCUUUUCUCAGAGAAGAACAAAUGACGGUAUCUGAGGAAUAAGCCCCGGCUAACCCUGUG
rnacentral:rRNA from 1 species